rnacentral:rRNA from 1 species
GUGAUCUCAAAUCAGGUAGGACUACCCGCUGAACUUAACGCAUAUCAAAUAAGCGGAGAG